rnacentral:rRNA from 1 species
AACGAACGCUGGCGGCAUGCCUAACACAUGCAAGUCGAACGAGACCUUCGGGUCUAGUGGCGCACGGGUGCGUAACGCGUGGGAACCUGCCCUUAGGUACGGAAUAACUCCCCUAAGGGGGUCCUAAUACCGGUUAAGCUCUUCGGACCAAAGAGUUAUCGCCUUUGGGUGGGCCCUCGUUGGAUUCGCUAGUUGGUAGGGUAAAAGCAUACCAAGGGGACGAUCCAUAGCUGGUCUGAGAGGAUGAUCAGCCACACUGGGACUGAGACACGGCCCAGACUCCUACGGGAGGCAGCAGUGGGGAAUAUUGGACAAUGGGCGAAAGCCUGAUCCAGCAAUGCCGCGUGAGUGAUGAAGGCCUUAGGGUUGUAAAGCUCUUUUACCCGGGAUGAUAAUGACAGUACCGGGAGAAUAAGCUCCGGCUAACUACGUG